GAUGAACGCUGGCGGCGUGCCUAAUACAUGCGAGUCGAGCGAACAGACGAGGAGCUUGCUCCUCUGACGUUAGCGGCGGACGGGUGAGUAACACGUGGAUAACCUACCUAUAAGACUGGGAUAACUUCGGGAAACCGGAGCUAAUACCGGAUAAUAUAUUGAACCGCAUGGUUCAAUAGUGAAAGACGGUUUUGCUGUCACUUAUAGAUGGAUCCGCGCCGCAUUAGCUAGUUGGUAAGGUAACGGCUUACCAAGGCAACGAUGCGUAGCCGACCUGAGAGGUUGAUCGGCCACACUGGAACUGAGACACGGUCCCGACUCCCACGGGCGGCAGCAGUAGGGACUCUUCCGCAAUGGGCGAACGCCUGACGGAGCAACGCCGCGUGAGUGAUGAAGGUCUUCGGAUCUUAAAACUCUGUUAUUAGGGAAGACCAAAUGUGUAAGUAACUAUGCACGUCUUGACGGUACCUAAUCAGAAAGCCACGGCUAACUACGUG
rnacentral:rRNA from 1 species